rnacentral:sRNA from 1 species
ACGCAGCAACAGCAGCCGCCUCCAUCAG